UUUGAGCUCAAUCUAUUGUUUCCGACCUAAGAAGCUUUCCAGGAUGCGUCUAUAAAGUGUGUGCGUCGAUAAUAAGGAAUAUGAUGUAGCGUUCGAACCAGUUUAAGCGACUUGAUCGUUUUUGGAAAAAUUGACCCCUUUUGAAAUUUUCGGUCAAAAAACCAAUUUAUUAAUGUAAUAUAACCACGUGUUGCGUGAGCUCAAGGGACAAUUUUCUGCACAAUAUGCAUGUAGAGAAUUUGAGCUUAAAAUAGGCAAAUAUCGUUCUAAAAUCGCAUAAAAUCGAUAACAAAUUUUGGAGCUGAGAACUCGUUUUUUUCUUAGCAGGUUCCUUCUCAUGAAAAUGGUAGUUAAAUUUCGAUCGGUUUUUUCUUUAAUUGUUUUUUGCAAUUAGUUUACUUUGAAUAACAACAUAUUGAUUAAUUGUUAUCGAUUGGCAAGUUAUUUUGAAACCGCAGUUAUUUUUAAUAAAAUAUGUGAACCCAUUAACGACACUAAUCUAUCACAGAUAAACAUUGUUUUCCAAACAUAAAUGUCGACGAUUUUUGCCAGUUAAAUAUUACUUGCCAAGUGCAACGGAAAGCUAAAAAUAAAUGUGAAACAUCUAUUAAUAAUAAGGGAACUUAAUAUCAAAAGAGAUCAAUCGUAAAGAAAUAAUGUCUUUCCAGUUUCAAUUUGCGAGACUUUCUUGUUUAGAUGCCAAAUAUACACGAUAUAUGUAUAUCAAAUAUCGCAGUUUUAAGCUUUUUCAACAACUUUUUUCCCAAUUUCAUCGAAGAUAAAUGUCUGUUUUCUAUCUCUUGGUCAUCAGCCCACACUUAUUUUCUCAGACCGUUUUAACGGACACAUUUUGCAAAAAUCAUCACCACGUUGAAAAGUUCGUAGUAUUACAGGUGGCUGCGUUCUCAACACCACUAUUAACUUGUCUUUAAGUUGUGCAUUGCAGAUGUGUAUCUACGACCUAAACAUUAAUGGAGAUCGCUUCCGCAUUUUCCUUUCAUUUCGACUUUCUGUGGGGAAUAUUUCAUCAAACGAAAUUAUCGCUUACCAAUUACGCAAAGGAAGCAAUAAAACGCAUAAUGUACAAGCAAUAAUGUCGCCAACAGUGCCAUAAGAAAAAACACGUGUGAGACACGAUAAACAGUCAACUAUUUAUCAAUGAGUUUGCUGUUUGAAGUUUCCAUUGAUGAUGAUGAUGCGGCCGAUACCAUCAUUAUGCAAGAUGGAUGUUAGGUAGUAGUGAUGGGUUUUGGCUGAAUUAGUGUUAAUUUGGGCAAAAUUCGUUAAGUUUUUGGUUGUUCGAGGAACUUUAAAUGAACAUCCUUGAUGUUUUCUAGUUAACAGUGCAAUUAUGUUUGGGAGUUUCAAUGGACUGAUAAAUGUAAAUUCAAUUGUUCAUUAUUCAUCUCUCUGCCUUGCACAUCCAUAUGAAACCCAACAACCGAAGAUCAAUUGUGGAAAGUUCGUAACGCAAUAUUUUAAUUAAUUCAAGUCGCAGCCUGCCAAGCGGCUCUUAAUUGUUGCUAAAUGCGCUCUUUUCCAACAAACACGCAUCAUCUAUAGAAUUUCGGGGAUGAUUAUUAAUUGUUGUUGAUUGUGCAAACUGACUGCACUGACAUGCUUUGUAUCACGAUAUUUCAUAUUCUUAUAGACGUUUUAGUCGGUAAACACGCCGGAGAAAUUAAUGGCAACCCGUCAGUUGUCUUCAGAGGUGCUUUUCAUCCUUGUUGAUGGCCUGUCUCCCACAUUUUUAGUCUUUUUUUUUGUGAAGAACCGCCCAUUCAAGCUCCAAGUGAAACGGAUUUAUCCAAGUCAUGAAGUCAUUUAGAUUCUCGAUUACCACGUUCGUCCGACCAUUAUUAUUGUUUGCUUGGGCAGGCUUUCAAAGUCGUUUUUCUCUCGCUUUUCACGGAAACAAAAAUGUGGUUUUAUGACGGCGCAACAGUAACAUACGUUUGAUGACCGAUUAACUGGCACAGUAUAAUUUUUAAUAUGUGCACAUACACACAUCGUAGUUAAGCUUCAAAUUGCUGCUGGCAGAAGAAGGCAGGUGAAAGUGCUUGGAAAGCCAAUAUUUAGUGAGAAAAUUACGCAACUCGAUGUUUUCCUAGAACAUAGAUAGAGGAGCUGCGGAAUACAAUUCUGUGGCCUGAAGGCCGAUCAUGACCCAUUUUCAGGUCGGAAAAUUCAUCUACAAACAGCAAUGUGAAGCUAAGCUCCCUUCAGAAUUUAUGAUGAUAGGACGAGUAGCCAAACAUGCCACAAAGUGAGAAUCCUUGUUGUCCUCGACUGACAAAAAGGUCUCAGGAGACCAGAUGAUUGGGAUCCUGCUGAUUUCAAGUUUGACGAGUUCUCGGAUAGUCUGAUGAGUUGUGAGCUGUAACUUUACAUGAAUAAAUUAUUUUUACUUU